UCCAACCUCCCAUCCGUGUCUAUCUGUACCCUGUUGCUUCGGCGUGGCCACGGCCCGCCGGAGACUAACAUUUGAACGCUGUCUGAAGUUUGCAGUCUGAGUUUUUAGUUAAACAAUCGUUA
rnacentral:misc_RNA from 1 species